UACAGAGGGGGCAAGCGUUAUUCGGAAUUAUUGGGCGUAAAGGGCGCGUAGGCGGCUUUGCAAGUGACGGGUGAAAGCCCUCGGCCUAACCGAGGAACUGCCUGUCAGACUGUGAGGCUUGAGACCGGGAGGGGUGAGUGGAAUUCCCAGUGUAGCGGUGAAAUGCGUAGAUAUUGGGAGGAACACCAGUGGCGAAGGCGGCUCACUGGACCGGAACUGACGCUGAGGCGCGAAAGCGUGGGGAGCAAACAGG
rnacentral:rRNA from 1 species